rnacentral:rRNA from 1 species
CCUACGGGAGGCAGCAGUGGGGGAUAUUGCACAAUGGGGGGAACCCUGAUGCAGCGACGCCGCGUGGGUGAAGGAGUGCUUCGGCAUGUAAAGCCCUAUCGGCAGGGAAGAAGCAAGACGGUACCUGACUAAGAAGCCCCGGCUAACUACGUGCCAGCAGCCGCGGUAAUACGUAGGGGGCGAGCGUUAUCCGGAUUCACUGGGUGUAAAGGGAGCGUAGACGGCCAUGCAAGCCAGGGGUGAAAGCCCGGGGCCCAACCCCGGGACUGCCCUUGGAACUGCAUGGCUGGAGUGCGGGAGGGGCAGGCGGAAUUCCUGGUGUAGCGGUGAAAUGCGUAGAUAUCAGGAGGAACACCGGCGGCGAAGGCGGCCUGCUGGACCGCGACUGACGUUGAGGCUCGAAAGCGUGGGGAGCGAACAGGAUUAGAUACC